rnacentral:rRNA from 1 species
GACGAACGCUGGCGGCGUGCCUAAUACAUGCAAGUAGAACGCCGUGGCGAACGGGUGAGUAACGCGUAGGUACCUGCCUCAGAGCGGGGGAUAACUCUUGGAAACCGUAGCUAAUACCGCAUACUGUGAGAUGGACCUGCGUUGUAUUAGCUAGUUGGUGAGGUAAAGGCUCACCAAGGCGACGAUACAUAGCCGACCUGAGAGGGUGAUCGGCCAAACUGGGACUGAGACACGGCCCAGACUCCUACGGGAGGCAGCAGUAGGGAAUCUUCGGCAAUGGACGGAAGUCUGACCGAGCUAUGCCGCGGGAGGGAGCAAGGGUUUUGGAUCGUAAAGAGCUGGUGUGAUAGUAGCGGUACCUAACGAGGAAGGUAGGGCUCACUACGGGCCAGCAGCCGCGGUAAUAC